rnacentral:lncRNA from 1 species
CGUUAAACUGAAUAUAUGACCAUCAAGUUGUUAAACUAAAUUCAAAUUCAUAUGACCACGAAGUUGUUAAACUGAAUUCAAAUUCGAAUGACCAUCAAGUCGUUAAACUGAAUAAUUGACCGCCAAAUUGUUAAACUGAGCAAGCCAACAUCAAGUUCUACUUCAUCCGACCGCCAAGUCGUUAAGCAAGCCAACAUCAAGUUCUACUUCAUCCGACCGCCAAGUCGUUAAACUGAGAAACUUAACUCAAAUCAACUGCCAUAUCCUUAAACCGAGCACCUGAAAACCUCAACUUCAAACUGAUCGCCUUGUCGUUAAACUGAGCAACUCAACUUCAAGCCGGCCACCAUGUCGCUAAACUGAGCAUCUCAACUUCAAUAGACUGCCAAGUUGCUAAACUGAGCAAAUCAAGUUCAGAUAUGAUCGUCAAGUUGUUAAACUGAACAUUUUACUAUCAAGUCGUUAAACUGAACAACGACCAUCAAGUCGUUAAACUAAACAAUGACCAUCAAGUCGUUAAACUGAGCUGUUAGCCGCCAAAUCAUUAAACUGAGUCGAGCAAACCAAAUUCAAAUUCAAAUUGACCAUCAAGUCGUUAAACUGAGCAAAUUAAAUUUAAAUUCAAAUUGACCGCCAAGUCGUUAAACUGAGCAAAUCAAAUUUAAAUUCAAAUUGACCGCCAAAUCGUUAGACUAGACAAACCAAAUUCAAAUUCAAUUGACCGCCAAAUCGCUAAAUUGGGCAAACCAAAUUUAAAUUCAAAUUGACCGCCAAGUCGUUAAACUAGACAAACCAAAUUCAAAUUCAAAUUGACCGCCAAAUCGUUAAACUGAGCAAACCAAAUUUAAAUUCAAAUUGACUGCAUGCCAAGUCGUUAAACUGAGCAAACCAAUUGCAAACUCUUCUCAACUGCCAGGUCAUCAAAUUGAGCAAAUUAUUUCAAA